rnacentral:rRNA from 1 species
UACGUAGGGGGCUAGCGUUGUCCGGAAUCAUUGGGCGUAAAGAGCGUGUAGGCGGCCCGGUAAGUCCGCUGUGAAAGUCGGGGGCUCAACCCUCGGAUGCCGGUGGAUACUGUCGGGCUCGAGUACGGAAGAGGCGAGUGGAAUUCCCGGUGUAGUGGUGGAAUGCGUAGAUAUCGGGAGGAACACCAGUGGCGAAGGCGGCUUCCUGGACCAGAGCUGACACUGAGGCGCGAAAGCGUGGGGAGCAAUCCGG